GAGGAAUAUUGGUCAAUGGGCGAGAGCCUGAACCAGCCAUGUCGCGUGAAGGAAGAAUGUCCUAUGGAUUGUAAACUUCUUUUAUACAGGAAUAAAGUGUACUACGUGUAGUAUUUUGUAUGUACUGUAUGAAUAAGGAUCGGCUAACUCCGUGCCAGCAGCCGCGGUAAUACGGAGGAUCCGAGCGUUAUCCGGAUUUAUUGGGUUUAAAGGGUGCGUAGGCGGAAUAGCAAGUCAGUGGUGAAAGUUUGCAGCUUAACUGUAAAAUUGCCAUUGAAACUGCUGUUCUUGAGUACAGUAGAGGUAGGCGGAAUGUGUAGUGUAGCGGUGAAAUGCAUAGAUAUUACACAGAACACCGAUUGCGUAGGCAGCUUACUGGAGUGUAACUGACGCUGAGGCACGAUAGCGUGGGGAUCAAAC
rnacentral:rRNA from 1 species